rnacentral:tRNA from 1 species
GGAUAUAGCUCAGCAGCACAGCACCUGCCUAGCAAGCAUGAGGUCCUGAGUUCAAUUCCCAGUACCA